rnacentral:rRNA from 1 species
GACGAACGCUGGCGGCGUGCUUAACACAUGCAAGUCGAACGGAAAGGCCCUUCGGGGUACUCGAGUGGCGAACGGGUGAGUAACACGUGGGUGAUCUGCCCUGCACUUUGGGAUAAGCCUGGGAAACUGGGUCUAAUACCGAAUAGGACCACGCGCUUCAUGGUGUGUGGUGGAAAGCUAUUGCGGUGUGGGAUGGGUCCGGGGCCUAUCAGCUUGUUGGUGGGGUAAUGGCCUACCAAGGCGACGACGGGUAGCCGGCCUGAGAGGGUGACCGGCCACACUGGGACUGAGAUACGGCCCAGACUCCUACGGGAGGCAGCAGUGGGGAAUAUUGCACAAUGGGCGCAAGCCUGAUGCAGCGACGCCGCGUGAGGGAUGACGGCCUUCGGGUUGUAAACCUCUUUCAAUAGGGACGAAGCGCAAGUGACGGUACCUAUAGAAGAAGCACCGGCCAACUACGUG